rnacentral:tRNA from 1 species
UGUAUAGCUCAGUCAGUAGAACGUGCGCUUGUUGAGCGUAAGGAUGUAAGAUCGAUUCCUGGUGUGUCC